rnacentral:rRNA from 1 species
ACGGAAGGCAGCAGUGGGGAAUAUUGGGCAAUGGGGGAAACCCUGACCCAGCGACGCCGCGUGAGGGAAGACGGUCUUCGGAUUGUAAACCUCUGUCUUUCGGGACGAUAAUGACGGUACCGAAGGAGGAAGCCACGGCUAACUACGUGCCAGCAGCCGCGGUAAUACGUAGGUGGCAAGCGUUGUCCGGAAUUACUGGGUGUAAAGGGAGCGUAGGCGGGGGAGCAAGUUGAAUGUGAAAUCUAUGGGCUUAACCCAUAAAUUGCGUUCAAAACUGUUCUUCUUGAGUGAAGUAGAGGCAAGCGGAAUUCCUAGUGUAGCGGUGGAAUGCGUAGAUAUUAGGAGGAACACCAGUGGCGAAGGCGGCUUGCUGGGCUUUUACUGACGCUGAGGCUCGAAAGCGUGGGGAGCAAACAGGAUUAGAUACCCUGGUA